CCUACGGAGAGCAGCAGUGGGGAAUUUUGGACAAUGGGGGGAACCCUGAUCCAGCCAUGCCGCGUGUAUGAAGAAGGCCUUAGGGUUGUAAAGUACUUUUGUUAGGGAAGAAAAGCUAGUUUUGAAUAAAGAUUAGUGCUGACGGUACCUAAAGAAUAAGCACCGGCUAACUACGUGCCAGCAGCCGCGGUAAUACGUAGGGUGCGAGCGUUAAUCGGAAUUAUUGGGCGUAAAGCGAGUGCAGACGGUUGUUUAAGCCAGAUGUGAAAUCCCCGAGCUUAACUUGGGACGUGCAUUUGGAACUGGAUAACUAGAGUGUGUCAGAGGGAGGUAGAAUUCCACAUGUAGCGGUGGAAUGCGUAGAGAUGUGGAGGAAUACCGAUGGCGAAGGCAGCCUCCUGGGAUAACACUGACGUUGAGGCUCGAAAGCGUGGGGAGCAAACAGGAUUAGAUACCCCUGUAGUC
rnacentral:rRNA from 1 species